AACGUAGGAGACGAACGUUAUCCGGAGUUACUGGGCGUAAAGGGCGUGUAGGCGGUUUGUUAAGUCUGGCGUGAAAGCUCUCGGCUAAACCGGGAGAGGUCGUUGGAUACUGGCAAACUUGAGGAUGGUAGAGGCGUGUGGAAUUCCGGGUGUAGUGGUGAAAUGCGUAGAGAUCCGGAGGAACACCAGUGGCGAAGGCGGCUUUCUGGACCAAUACUGACGCUGAGACGCGAAAGCGUGGGGAGCAAACAGG
rnacentral:rRNA from 1 species